CCGCCCUUAACUCAGUUGGUAGAGUGGCAGACUGUAAUUGAUCAGGUAUCUGUAUGUCCCCGGUUCGAAUCCGGGAGGGCGGA
rnacentral:tRNA from 1 species